GGAGGAGUGGCAGAGUGGUUGAUCGCGCGCGACUUGAAAUCGCGUAACUCAAAAGGUUCGUGGGUUCAAAUCCCACCUCCUCCG
rnacentral:tRNA from 1 species